ensembl:lncRNA
UUUGACAAGAGUUAGGAAGCUGAUCGAGAUUUUUAGUUCGUCAACGCAAUAUUGCAAAUGCAAUAGUGUAAUGACUGUUUUUUUGAUAUUAUGGAACAAACGUCCCCCUGGAACGAUGAACUAGUUCAAUUUUGGUGGUUAAUGGUCAGUGUGACAUCAUAUGCGUUCCAUUUUGGUGAACCCGAUGUUUCCAACUUCCACACUAUGACUAAAACGAUAAGUGUAUGCUGUAACCAUAUGCUAAUUAUCUUAAUCUCAACACGUUUUGGGAAAAAAAACAAGAUUUUGGACGGACAUGGAUGUGAAAUCCAGUUCAACUGGUUACACACAACAGCAAUUCGUUACUUUUAGCUUUCGUCGAAGCACCGAUGAGUAUGAUGAGCACCUGAUUAACGCUCUCACAGUCUGUUCCAACGGAGCCAAAUGGAAGCUUAGCGUCUCCCAUCUACUGUCACUGAUUACAUCAGCAAAAUUAAACAAUCUGUCAUGUAUAGCACGAACCGUCUUAGCUUUGAUGGAAUAAUAAAUACUAUGUACGCAAGAAAACGGUGACAGCUCUUCACGGCUUCGUUCUGUUCAUCCGUACAUUGAGGCUCUGGCAUGAGUUGACACGCUGCGGGCAGAUGGAGCUGACGUGACAUCACCAGCUACAGGACGGGCCGAUGAAGAAGCAGGUACACUGACGGGCACAUGGUGCAUGCGGGAGGGAAAGGGGAUGUUCCAUGGAGAACGUUUCAAUGAAAACAACAAGAAAGGAAAGAAAGGAGGGAACAAUUAAUACACCUCAGAUGCUUAAUCUCAAGGUUCCCAAUCGGCUUUAUUCAAUCUUUAUCCAAUCAACGGCAUUAUUUCUGGAAAUGCUGAGUUUGAAGGACGCACGUUCGGACUCGUGACGACCAAAAACAAAAAUUUUAAGAAGAUAAUUGCUAGAGAGGCAACGAACGAGGGGUAGACGCAUGUUUUGAGGGGCCAAGAGUGAAGAAUGAUAAAAGCUCAUUAGCAAAACGGCUCCUCUCUCACCUCCCGCUGUUACACGUGGACACGUGUUUGUGUCUCUGUGUGUGUGUUUGUGUCUGUGUCCACAGGCUUUCAGUCAAAAGGACAAAGAGCCUUGUCAAGUAAACAUGCAGCCAGUCAAGCAAACAGUUGAGGUCAUGCACACACACACACACACACACAGUAUAUGUUUAGAUGCGUGUAUUGUGUGAGGGCACCGAUGCCGUUUCCAAGUCAUUUAACACUAGAUGGUGUUGGACUGGCCAAUGAUUACCAUUCUGUCUGAAAUACAAACAGACACAGAGAGACAGGGAGUGUGUGUGUGUGUGUGUGUGUGUGUGUGUGUGUGUGUGUGUGCGUGUGGGGGGCACAGGUAACGGCCAUCAGAGGCAGCAAGCACUCAAACAGCACAGUGCACUCAGAAAGUGAGCGUUGUGCUUUAUUAGUACUUUUAAAGAGGUUUCUCACUUUUUUUAAAAACAUUUUCGGCAAAGGUCUUCAAUGCAAAGGUCUUCAAUGCAAAAGUCUUCAAUGCAAAGGUCUUCAAUGCAAAAGUCUUCAAUGCAAAGGUCUCCAAUGCAAAGGUCUUCAAUGCAAAGGUCUUCAAUGCAAAGGUCUUCAAUGCAAAGGUCUUCAAUGCAAAGGUCUCCAACGUGACUUCUGCAGUUGAAUGUGCCCGAUUGUCCACAUACAUGUCCAAACUUUAGUGGAACUUGGGGGGGAUUGGAUAGUGAAUAUGUUAUGUGUUCGGCCAUGGCGGCGGAUGAAUGCAUUGCAUCGGCCCCCGGCCCCUCGGGCCCCUCGGGCCCCCGGGCCCCCGGGCACCGAUAGGUAGACGGAGAUCUUUGUGUAAAACUCAACAGAGCUAUGGGAGGAACCCAGGACUAUAUCCCACAUAGAGAGUGGUGACCUAGUGAAAGCGAUACAACAUAAUGU